GUAAAUUCAGACACAAAUACAUAGAGAGGGAAACAUCAUGUGAAGAUGGGAGCAGAGAUUGGAGCAAUGCAUCAAGAAGCCAAAGAAUACCAAGGAUUGCCAGCAACCACCGGAAACUAGGAGGAGAAUUGUGACAAGCGAUCAGUUUGAGCAAGCAGAUGCCAGGAGUGGACUGAGCAGGGACUUCCUAGAUGGUGCAGUGGUUAAGAAUCCACCGGCCAAUACAGGGGACACAUGUUCAAUCCCCGCUCCAGGAAGAUCCCACAUGCUGCAGAGCAACGAAGUCUGCGCACCACAACUAUUGAACCUGCACUUUAGAGCCUGUGAGCCACAACUAUUGAGCCUAUGUACCACAACUACU